CGCGUAGGCGGUCGCGUAAGUCGGGUGUGAAAUUCCGGGGCUCAACCCCGUGGACUGCACCCGAUACUGCGUGACUAGAGAGAGGUAGGGGCAAGUGGAAUUCCCGGUGUAGCGGUGGAAUGCGUAGAUAUCGGGAAGAACACCCGUGGCGAAGGCGGCUUGCUGGACCUUUUCUGACGCUGAAGCGCGAAAGCGUGGGGAGCAAACA
rnacentral:rRNA from 1 species